GACGAACGCUGGCGGCGUGCCUAAUACAUGCAAGUCGAACGCAGUGGGGACGGGUGGGUAACACGUGGGUAACCUCCCAUCAGAGGGGAGAACACUUGGAAACAGGUGCUAAACCGAGACUGAUGGAUGGACCCGCGGUGCAUUAGCUAGUUGGGGGGGUAACGGCGCACCAAGGCCACGAUGCAGAGCCGCCCUGAGAGGGUGAUCGGCCACACUGGGACUGAGACACGGCCCAGACUCCUACGGGAGGCAGCAGUGGGGAAUCUUCGGCAAUGGACGAAAGUCUGAUCGAGCGACGCCGCGUGAGUGAAGAAGGUUUUCGGAUUGUAAAGCUCUGUUGUUAGGGAGGCGGUAUCUAACCAGAAAGCCACGGCUAACUACGUGCCAGCAGCCGCGGUAAUAC
rnacentral:rRNA from 1 species